CCCACUGUAGCAGCCCUUCCCUGGAAAGGCCCGAGGCUCUGUGUGGAAGGAGAUAAGAUGCCGCAGCUUCCAGGAGACCUGCAUUAGCCAGAGCGAUGUCAGACACACUGUGUCUGGCACGAAGGCCCUCACCCAGGUGGAGGAUGGUGACUCCAUGCUGAGACCCCAGAUUUCUGUUAGAACCUUCCUAAGCGUGGACUUGCAGAGCUGAAAGGGAAGAGAGAGGAUGUGGACAGCGGCAAAGUAUUGAGAAGAGGAAGUCAUUUUACAGUUGUCGCAGCUGCUACUGAAUUUAGAUUGGAAAAAUGAUUUGCGCGAGCAAAGUGGCGAUCAGGACCUGGGUGAUCUGUCUGCUUUGAGCUGGUUGCAGGCAUUCCACGUCUUCUGUUGGAAGCUGCUGAGACUACCAGACGGAGGCGUCUAGACUUCACAAUGCGGCUUUGCCUUCCCUGGGAGCUCUAGGUCUUGCAGUAGAAAGAGAAUGGAUGGAUAUUGUUGUGCCGUUCAGUAACUUCUGCGUCUCACUUGGCCAGCUCUGCCUUGAGUCAGUAAGCAUUUAAACCCUGGUGGCGCAGUGGUUAAGAAUACACCUGCCAGUGCAGGGAACACAGGUUUGAGCCCUGGUCCAGGAAGAUCCCACAUGCCGCGGAGCAACUAAGUCCAUGCGCCACAACUAGUGAGCCUGUGCUCUAGAGCCCACAAGCCACAACUACUGAAGCCUGUGCGCCACAACUACUGAAGCCCGUGCAUCUAGAGCCUGUGCUUCGCAACGAGAGAAGCCACCACAAUGAGAAGCCCGCGCACCACAACGAAGACCCAACGCAGCCACAAAUUUAUAUAAAAAAGGGUCUUCAGAUCCCAGACUGACACCUUGACUGCUGCGUUGUGAGGGGGCAGAGGGACCCAGCUAAGCUACAUCUGGAUUUCUGACCCACAGAAACUGCGAGAUAAACUGCUCCGAAACAGCACAGAGAACAAGAAACAGAAACACAAGCCCCGUAUUCGUUAAGGGCAGGAGACAUCUGGAAUCUGGAACCACCAUAUAUGGAGACGAGAGACAGAUGGAGGAACGAUGCAUCCCCUGCUUCGAUACCCGCCUGCUUGAGUCCUGUGAAGAGGUGGCGAUGCAGAAAGGGUGUAAAUAAAAGCUGAAAGAGGUGUUUCUUGAAAUUCAUAAAAUCUUGAGGCCUGAGUGACACUGCUUCGAAACUGAAGAAGAUAUGCUUCCCGCCAUGCCGCGAGGCGUUGGUCUGGAAGGAGGAAAUGAGCAGCUGAGACUCUUGUCUUCCAAGGACAGACCCUGACUAAUUCUCUCGUUGUUCCUGCCUUUCUCAGUCUGGGCAAAGCUGUAAGCUGGAAAACUCAGCUUCAGAUGAUGAUGUAGUUUAUAUAAACGGUAAUUCCAGAUAAUAUUUGGUGUUGGUAAUAUCUUCCAAGCAUUUCUCCUGUCUUCAAGAUAAAGAAGUUAAGACACCCGGAAAAGGAUCCAGCAGUCAUAAAGCCCUCCUGUGAGAGGUGCCCUCCCUGGACCAGGAUGAGAGGAACAUCCUUAUCUCCAAAGAAAAGGGGAUGCGAAGAAGAAUUGGGAUGCACAGGCCUGGCUAAGCGUCCCCCAGUUUACUACUCUGACCUCAUACCUGUUGUCCUAGGUGCUUGCGGAGGGCUGGCAUCCCAGCAAGAGGAAGUAUUGACUAGAAAUUGAACCCAGAUUCUGAGUUCUGUUUUUGGCUUCAUCAAUGAUUUCUGAGUACAAACUGAGGGCAUAAAUACGGAUUGACGUGUGCCUUUGUUCUUCUGGCCUGCCACGUCUGUCCCCACCAGCACAUCUACGCCAGCGCAGGCACUCAACACACUCAGGGACUCAACACACAUCCCCUGAAUGAAUGAUGAAAAUUGCUCUGUCACGAUGGGGGAAAAGUCAUCUAGGGUGGAAGAUCCAUCCACCUUUUUCAAGACCCAACGGAAACACUGGGCAGGUGCGUAUUUUACUCUUCAGUUUUCCAGAUAAGGCUUCCAUGAGUUGAUACAGGCCGUGAUGUGAACCCUUCAAAAGCGUCAGUGAACUGCUUCCUUCCACUUAGAACCCUUGGUUAGCUUAAAGCCGGUCAACUCUUCCAGCCAUCUUUAUCCAGGGUCAGCAAGCAAGGAGACCACAAACUCAUCCAGAUUUAGGCCCUCAGUGCCCAGGAGGAGUGGAGAGAAUAUCCAGGCUAUGGAAUUCUGGUGGUCAUUAUCAUGACAAAGGUGGUAACAACUUGGACAGGAAGCUGAACAAAAAGCAUCCACUGUUCUAUUUGCAAUUCUAGGAUUGUAUUUGUAAUCUCUCUUUGCGGGAGAAAGAGACUGCCAGUAAAAGGCUGAAACACAAUAGGAAGAGAGGCCGCACAAUGCAGAGAGAGAGCAAAGGGCUCCGUGCCUGUGCUCACACGCACGCUCCGUGUGCGCACCUUCCCUGUGUCUGUACACAUUGGACAAGAGGAAAUUAUUGUCAUGGGUAAGAGUUUAACAUUAUUGACCUGUAAGAUGGCUUUUAAAAAAUAUAUGCAACAUGGCUGGAAUGCCAAUUGGAAGUGGAGAAGCAUUUCGGGAAGAUGAACCGGCUGCAUGAAUAGACAUGGAGCAGCGCGAGCUGCUUUAAUUUGUUCGCUUUGGAGUGUCUGGGAGUCAGCUAAUGCUGUAACCUGUGAAGGAAGUCACCGUGAACGUGAUUAAUAACGUGGUGGGGGGAGGCUCUAGAGUUAUUGUGCUGUGUAGGGUUUUGGUGUCAGGGAGGAGGUAACUGUUCCAAGAGUCACUGACAAUUUUGGUUAACAAGUACAAAUGGAACAGGUCACUCUGCUGUUCUUUGGAGCCCUCCCUCGCCCCGUAGCUGCUCAACUCUGCAAAUUCUAAUUCAUUACCAUUUGCUCCCCUUUUGUUACCUACCUAGCCGGUGACUGUAGCUGGGAAGUGUGUGGUGCAGGGACCAUUCAAAACAAGCUCAUUGUCCCUGGAGCUCGAGGAGCAAAGCCAUUGCUUUUGUUCAGCUGGAAGAGAGUGAAACCCACAUUGCCUUCUAUCGUCCCACUGCAAACUAGGCUUUUAAUUGGCACGUUGGCGUUAGGAUUUUAAAAGGUGUGCGAUGACAGCUUAGAAGUGACGCAUCACGGGGGCAGAAGUGACUUCACCUCCAGCUUAAUCCUGCCUUGAAAUUUGUGUGUGCGUGUGCCGUGAGUGUUCUCGACUCCCAGGAAAUGCGUGUGGUUGCUAUCAGUGGAAGGCAGACAGGGCUGCUCUUAGAUCACAGGACCGCCGUUCAGAGGCUACACUAACCUUAUGCUAAGAUGCAUCGAUCUCUUUUAUUCCCUCCACCCCUCUGACCCCCUGAUGGACAUGAACAAAGUUGGCCCCUAACCACACUUCUCAUUCUGCCUCCUUUGGUUUCCAUCUUGUCAGGGACCCAUGAAUAAAAAUGUCAGUUUGUCAAUCCCAUUUAUGCUUACGAAGUGAACACCUAAGGACGAGACAAUUAACACUGAGCAAUUCAAUGCAACACACAUGUAUCGAGCCUCUAACUGUAAUUGAUCAAAAGUGCUGAGUCAUUAACAAAAUCACUUUUGUGACUUUGGAGACAAAGUCAAGGUGAUUCUUGCAGUUAGCCACGUGGGUGUGUGUUUGGUGUGUGUUUACGGCAGCCAGAAGAGGCUGGGAAGUUCAGUGUUGACAGUGUGUAGCUGUGAGAACUGCACAUCAACUCAGGUGAGUGCUAGCCUGCUGUCCUGGACUUGCUUUAAGUCUGGCUGUGGAGUUUCUACAAUCUGAAUUGACGCAGUGCUGUAAUAUUGAUGACUGUGGAGAAUCUAUCUCUACUAAAAAAGUAUUGAAUGUGUGGAGUCCAGAACUGGGGUGUCUGGUUACUCUAUCUCUGUACUUUACUUCACCCAGCCUUCCAGUCCUCAAACAUUAAGCAACGUCAUCAACUUUGUUCAUGUACAUGUAAGGGAGGAAGAAAAACUUUUUCUCCUUCCCUCCUAGAUUCUCCAGCUGGGGAUUUGUAAAUUAGACUAACAAAAGAAGGAUUAGGAAGAGAAAAACAUACAGAUGUACUCCAUAGACGUUUUAGAUGACACAGGAGCCUUCAGAAAGAGAUGAAGACCUGAAAAAAAUGAUUAAACCAGAGGGUUUUAUACCAGGUUUGAUGAAGAGUGGAUAGUUGUGGGAAAGCGUAAUAGGAGAAAAGAGUAUGAGAUACACAUAGUAAACCGUAGGAAACUCAGCAAGGCCUUUUCAUUUGGAUUCCCCUGGGGGUCCCUCCAUCUUUGGAGAUAGGGAUGCUCUUUUCCUCCAGGUAUAGACAGGCCACCUGCCAUGGGAGGGUCUUAUGACCUGCAUCAGGGAAGAAGGGGGAGGUCAGAGAAUCCUUCCAGCAUUUGCCGUUUCUAUGCCCUUCAGCUUAAAAUGCUCAGUAUGGCAAGUUGCCAUAUUUUGGGGUCGUGUGCUCUGAACGCCAUCAACAUACGUAUAUUCUUUAAGAAAUUAUCUGCUUCUUAAAUCUCUAUACACCUAGGUAACGCAGUCUCCAUUUUAUAGUAGACUGGUGCAUCAAUGAAAAGAAAUAUACUUAAUUUUUUUAAAAAGUCCAUAAAGAGAAUCUUCUGCAAAGCCAAAGUGGUAGGAUUAAGCUGUUUUUGUUUUUUUUAAAAAUUAUUCUUAUUAUCCCAGGAUUAAAAACAUUUUUCUUCCAAAUUUAAUUUUGGAAAUAGAGGAUUCAGAGGUAUUCAGUAACAUAUGGAACCAAUAUAAGCUGAUAAACAUAUGCUAUUAAAAUAAUAGCCCUUGUAUUAAUUGGUGUAUUUUCCUGAAAAGCAGUUUCCCAAUAGGCACCAAAGGCCUUUAAAACAGUGCGCACCUAUUGACCUAGUAAUCCCUCCCUAGGAAUUUAUCAGAGGGAAAUGUUUGGACAAAUGGACAAAGAUGUAUGACUGAAAACAAUCAGUGUAUACUUGUUUAUAAAUAGGGGCACAUUAGGAAACUCUUUUAAUGUCCAUCAAUAAAGGAUUGGUUGGAUAAACAAUGGUAUAUUCAUGCAAUACAAUAUGUUAUAAUAAUUAAUGCUGUUAUAGAGAAAUAUAUACAUAUUAUCUUGGAAUAAUUCACACAGUAUGUGACCAAGUGCAAAUAUCAAGUUAACAAAAUAUUAUCUACACUAUGGCUCUAUCGUUGUACGAAAACAUUGGAAAUUUGCACAUAAAAGGUUAGCAGCAAUACUCCUGAGCAACCAGUGAGUCAAAGAAGAAAUUUUAAAAAACCUUGAAACAAAUAAAAGUGAAAACACAACAUGCCAAAAUGUAUGGAAUAGAGCAAAAGCGGUUCUAAGAAGGAAGUUUAUAGUGAUUAACACUUACAUUAAGAAAAAGGAGAGAUCUCAAACAAACAACCUAACUUCAGACCUCAAGAAACUAGAAAGAGAAGAACUAACUAAGCCCAAACUUAUCAGAAGGAAGGGCAUAAUAAAGAUCAGAGAAGAAAUAAAUGAAAUAAGGAAUAGAAAACAAUAGAAAAGAUCAAGAAAUCUAAGAGUUUAUUUUUUGAAAAGAUAAAAUUGACAAAUCUUUAGCUAGACUUUUAAGAAAAAAGAGUGAGGACUCAAGUAAAUAAAAUUAUAAAUCGAAGAGGAAACAUUACAACUGACACCACAGAAAUAGAAAGAAUUAUAAGAAACUACUAAGAAUAGUUUUAUGCCAACAAAUUGGACAAUCUUAAGGAAAUAGAUAAAUUCCUAGAAACAUACACCCUACCAAGAUUGAAUCAUGAAGAAAUAGAAAAUCUACUGAUUCAAUCUUCUAUUCAAGAAUCAAAAAAUUUUCCAGUAAAGAAAAGAAAAGCCCAGGACCAGUUACCUUCACCAGUGAAUUCUACCAAAUAUUUAAAGAAGAAUUAAUACCAAUACUUUUCACUCUUGCAAAAAAUUAGAGAGAAAGGGACACUCCCAAACUCAUUUACAAGGUCAGCAUUACUCUGAUACCAAAGCCAGAUAAGAAUACUACAAAAAAAGAAAAUUACAGGUCAAUAUCUCUGAUGAAUAUACAUGCAAAAAUUCUCAACAAAAUACUAGCAAACCAACUUCAACAGCAUAUUAAAAGGAUCAUACACUAUGAGCAAAUGGAACUUAUCCCUGGGAUGCAAGGAUGAUUCAACAUAUACAAAUCAAUAUAUGUGACCCACCACAUUAAUAGAAUGAAAGAUAAAAAUCAUAUGAUCAUCUCAAUAGAUGCAGAAAAAGAAUUUGACAAAAUUCAACAUAUUUUCAUGAUAAAAGCUCUCCAUAAAUUGAGGAUUGAAGGAACAUACCUCAACAUAAUAAAGGCCAUAUAUGACAGGCCCCAGCUAACAUCAUACUCAAUGGUCAAAUGUUGAAAGCUUUCCCUCUAAGGUCAGAGACAAGAAAAAGGUACCCACUCUCAAUAGUAGUUGAAAGGUACCACUACUAUUCAACAUGGCACUGCAAGUCCUAGCCAAGCAAUGAGGCAAGAGAAAGAAAGAAAAGAUAUUCAGGUCAGAAAGGAAGAAGCACAGUUAUCUCUGUUUGCAGAUGACAUAAUCUUAUACAUAGAAACUUCUAAAGACUCCACCAAAAAAACCUGUUAGAACUAAUAUUUUCCUUCAGUAAAGUUGCUAGAUACAAAAUCAGCAUACAAAAUCAGUUGCUUUUUAUAUACUAACAAUAAACUAUUUGAAGAAAAAAUAAAACAAUCUCAUUUACAAUAGCAUUGAAAACAAUAAAAUACUUAGGAAUAAAUUUAACCAAGGAAGUAAAAGACCUAUACACUGAAAACUAAGACAUUGACAGAAGAAAUUGAAAAAGACAUAAAAAGAUGGAAAGAUAUCUCAUGUUCACAGAUCAGAAGAGUUAAUAUUGUUAAAGAGUCCAUACUUCCCAAAGCCAUUUAUAGAUUCAGUGCAAUCCCUGUCAAAAUUCCAAUGGUACUUUUCACAAAAAUAGAACAAGCAAUCCUAAAAUUCAUAUGGAACCACAAAAGACCCUGAAUAGCCAAAGCAAUCUUGAGAAAGAACAAAGCUGGAGGCAUCACCCUUCCUGAUUUCAAACUAUGUUACAAAGCUAUAGAAAUCAGAACAGUGUAGUAGGGCUUCCCUGGUGGCGCAGUGGUUGAGAGUCUGCCUGCCAAUGCAGGGGACACGGGUUCAUGUCCCAGACCGGGAGGGUCCCACAUGCUGUGGAGCGGCUGGGCCCGUGAGCCAUGGCCGCUGAGCCUGCGCGUCCGGAGCCUGUGCUCCGCAACGGGAGAGGCCACAACAGUGAGAGGCCUGCGUACCGCAAAACAAAACAAAAACAGUGUAGUCCAGGCAUAAAAACAGGUACGUAGACCAAUGCAACAGAAUUGAGAGUGCACAUAUGGCCAAGUAAUAUUUGACAAGGGAGCCAAGAAGACUAAGGGGAAAGAAUAGUCUCUUCAAUAAAUGCUGCUGGGAAAACUGAAUAUUCACAAACAAAAAAAUGAAUUUGAAUCCCUAAAUUACACCAUUCACAAAAUUAACUCAAAAUGGAUUAAGGACUUACAUGUAAGACCUGAAACCAUAAAAAUCCUAGAAGAAAACAUAAAGAGAGAGCUCCUUGAUAUUGGUCUUGGUAAUGAUUCUUUGGAUAUGACACCAAAAGCACAA